AAUAGAUACCCGGGUAGUCCACGCCGUAAACGAUGAGUGCUAAGUGUUAGGGGGUUUCCGCCCCUUAGUGCUGCAGCUAACGCAUUAAGCACUCCGCCUGGGGAGUACGGUCGCAAGACUGAAACUCAAAGGAAUUGGCGGGGGCCCGCACAAGCGGUGGAGCAUGUGGUUUAAUUCGAAGCAACGCGAAGAACCUUACCAGGUCUUGACAUCCCAUUGACCACUAUGGAGACAUAGUUUUCCCUUCGGGGACAACGGUGACAGGUGGUGCAUGGUUGUCGUCAGCUCGUGUCGUGAGAUGUUGGGUUAAGUCCCGCAACGAGCGCAACCCUUGUUCUUAGUUGCCAUCAUUUAGUUGGGCACUCUAAGGAGACUGCCGGUGACAAACCGGAGGAAGGUGGGGAUGACGUCAAAUCAUCAUGCCCCUUAUGACCUGGGCUACACACGUGCUACAAUGGACGGUACAAACGGUUGCCAACCCGCGAGGGGGAGCUAAUCCGAUAAAACCGUUCUCAGUUCGGAUUGUAGGCUGCAACUCGCCUACAUGAGGACC
rnacentral:rRNA from 1 species